GCAGGCUGCAACCCGCCUGCGUGAAGUUGGAAUCGCUAGUAAUCGCGGAUCAGCAUGCCGCGGUGAAUACGUUCCCGGGCCUUGUACACACCGCCCGUCACACCAUGAGAGUCGGGAACACCCGAAGUCCGUAGCCUAACUUUAACGAGGGGCGCGGCCGAAGGUGGGUUCGAUAAUUGGGGUGAAGUCGUAACAAGGUAAC
rnacentral:rRNA from 1 species